GACGAACGCUGGCGGCGUGCCUAAUACAUGCAAGUUGAGCGCUGAAGGUUGGUACUUGUACCGACUGGAUGAGCAGCGAACGGGUGAGUAACGCGUGGGGAAUCUGCCUUUGAGCGGGGGACAACAUUUGGAAACGAAUGCUAAUACCGCAUAAAAACUUUAAACACAAGUUUUAAGUUUGAAAGAUGCAAUUGCAUCACUCAAAGAUGAUCCCGCGUUGUAUUAGCUAGUUGGUGAGGUAAAGGCUCACCAAGGCGAUGAUACAUAGCCGACCUGAGAGGGGGAUCGGCCACAGUGGGACUGAGACACGGCCCAAACUCCUACGGGAGGCAGCAGUAGGGAAUCGUCGGCAAUGGACGAAAGUCUGACCGAGCAACGCCGCGUGAGUGAAGAAGGUUUUCGGAUCGUAAAACUCUGUUGGUAGAGAAGAACGUUGGUGAGAGUGGAAAGCUCAUCAAGUGACGGUAACUACCCAGAAAGGGACGGCUAACUACGUG
rnacentral:rRNA from 1 species